UCCAACUUUAGCACUCUUGAAAAGAUCAUGAAAUCAUUUGACAAUUUCUUAAAAUUGCAUAUACUUUUUGCUACAUCUUAGGGUGUGCUCAUUUAAGAUUUUAUUGAGGACGGAUUCUAGCAUGCAAGAUCUGUCCAUCAGUUUUUAUUUUAUUUUAUUUUAUUCUUCUCUUUCUCACUUUAUCUCUUCUUCUCUGGAUCUCCUCUGAUCCACCAGCCACCACCGGCUCCGACCCGACGGCCCCACCACCCGAACACCUCCAUCGUUGAAGUUGUUGGGCAGGACCUCCGCGAAGCAGAGGAGGUGCGCGACGGAGCAGAACUCCCGCAACCGCGUGGAAAGGGCGUUGGCGGCGACGAGCUUUGUUAACGACACCGUUUCGGACGACGCUCAUUGGGGAUGCUUUGGAGAAAAGAAACGAUGGCUUCGCGCUGCAACCAAUGUCGUAACUGUGGACGGAGGACGGAGGACGGUAGACGGCGAGGAGAGCGAGCAGGAAUUCGAGGGAUGAGAGAUCAACGAAGCUUCAGGUCCAGCGAAUGGCGGCGGCGGCGGGAAGGGGAGGACAAUGAUUUGGAAGAUGGAGUUGGGAGCUCCGACGAAGGGUGGCGGCGGCAGGAAGGGGAUGACGUUUAUUUGGUAGGUAGGGCGAGACGGCGGAGGGAGGGGGAGCGGUGGCGGAGCAGCGACGAAGGAGGGUGAGUUUUGCAUUGUGACAGAGAAAGAGAAUGGAGGGAUGGUGGAAUUGACGGUCGGAAAUCUCGUCGGAGAUACGACGGCGACAACGGAAGUGAUCGAAAUGGCAAUGGGUUGGAGGGAGAGAUGGGAACAGAGGGACAAAAUGGUAAAAGAAAAAGAAAAAAAAUGAAAAAAAUAUUGGUCUUUCAUUAAAAAAUGAUGUAUCCAAUGGUUUAAAAAAACUUUUAGACUUGUCUUGCACAUGCAAGACUUCAUUUUAUUUCUAUACUCCAAAUCUUAAUUCUUCUAUAUAGAUUUUAUGAUCCAUGUCAA